GGCCGGGAGAAAAGGCCUCGGCCACCGAGCGGCGGGAUCACAAAGGACCACCGUGUCCGCCUUUGUCCUGCAUCUGCCAGUGGAGCGCCCUCGCCGCCAUUGGCUUCACCUUCCACCGGCUCUACCUGUCUCAUCCUGGGGAUCUGCGUCAGCAGUCACUAGCCGCCCCGCCAGCCCAGGAAGUGAAGCAGGCUCCCAGCAAGGCAGCAACCUCACAGACAGAACUGGGGAGGAAAAUGAAGCUUCCGAUUUUCAUAGCAGACGCGUUCACAGCAACAGCUUUCCGUGGUAAUCCUGCUGCCGUCUGCCUCCUGGAAAAUACAUUGGAUGAUGAUUCUCAUCAACUCAUUGCACGAGAAAUGAACCUCUCUGAAACCGCAUUUAUUCGAAAACUGCAACCGACUGACAACUUCACACAAAGUUCCCACUUUGGACUGAGGUGGUUUACUCCAGAGAGUGAGUUCCCGCUGUGUGGUCACGCCACCCUGGCCUCUGCAGCUGUGCUGUUCCACAAGAUAAAGAACACAAACAACACUCUCACCUUUGCCACUAUGAGCGGGGAGCUGAAGGCCAGAAGAGCAGAGGAUGGGAUUGUCUUGGACUUUCCUCUCUACCCAGCCUUCCCCCAGGACUUCCAUGAGGUGGAAGACUUGAUAAAGGCAGCCAUAGGAGACACCCUAGUCCAGGAUAUCCGGUACUCUCCAGACACCAAAAACCUUAUGGUCCGGCUCAGCGAUUCUUACGACAGGUCCUUUCUGGAGACCCUGAGGGUGAACACAGAGCCUCUGCCUCGAAUGGAAAAGACAGGGAAGGUGAAAGGGCUCAUUCUCACUCUCAGAGGAGAGCCUGGGGGGCAGACACCCCACUAUGACUUCUACUCCCGGUACUUUGCACCAUGGGUUGGUGUGGCUGAAGACCCGGUAACAGGGUCUGCCCACACUAUUCUUGGCCCCUACUGGUCUGAGGAGCUGGGGAAGAAAGACAUGCGAGCCUUUCAGUGUUCCCGCCGAGGAGGAGAACUGGACAUUUCCCUGCGACCUGAUGGACGAGUUGACCUGAAGGGUGGCGCUGCUAUUGUCCUAGAGGGCACGCUGACGGUCUAGAGACACUUACGCUGCGCUGUGGCCCCGGAUAAACAUGGUGUUUCCUCUACACUACAAAACAAACCAACAACAAAUGCCCAGAGCUUGCUUCAGCAAACCCACUGACCAGUGCCCUCGACCGUAGAGAACAGACAAGGAAGCCAUUUGAUGAGGGCAGGAUAGCAUCUCCAGGCUCCUUAGCUGAUGAAGGGCUCUGGCCUCUGCCUGUGUGCAUCUUCAGGAACCCACAGCAGGCAGCGAUGCUGCCACUUCUUUUGAUCAUAACUGCCAAUCAAAGAGAGAUCCAGUCAGGUGGUGGCGCCAUGCGCCUUUAAUCCCAGCAUUUGGGAGGCAGAAGCAGGACAGCCAGAGCCACACACAGAGAAACCCUGUCUCAAAAAAGAAAAAAGAAAAAAGAAAAAAGAGCUAUCCAUUGAUAAGGAGCUAGGUUCGGCCAUUUAAAUUUAGGCACAGGUACCUAAUAGAGUAUCUCAAAGACAUUCAGAAGAGUUAAUAGCUCUGUGGAAAAGCAGUGUUGCUAAAAUCCUUUCCCUGUGGACCACAUAAACAUUUCCUCCCCAUUCCCUAAGUUUCCAAAGAUAAACUGAGGUACAACGCCAUCAUUCUCCCAGGGCACCAGUGGCCUUACUUCCAGAGCAUAAGCGAGGGGUUACUUACAGAGUGUGGGUGUGGCAUCCUGGAAUGUGACCCCGGAAAAGGCUUUGUCAGGCGCUGAUGAUAACUGUCCUGUGGCGGGGAUGGGAACCCCCGGCCUCAGUCUUUGCUGGCCUGUAUCUCCUAGCCCCUUGCUGGGGCCGUGUGCUAGUGCAUUUAUCACAGGUGGGAGGGAGAGGCUAGAUCCUCAGGUGAGGGUCCUGUGACCUCCCCAGUACUGCUGGGAGGAGAGGGAGCCGUUCAUUAGCCCAGCUGGGAUGAGCCUUUGCAAGUGGGCACAGCUGAACUCCUGAAGAUUGCAGUUGCUUGGCUCAGAGUAUCUUCCUGAGCAACGUGCAGGAAAACAUCUCACGAGGUGAUCACGCUAGGAAUGGAAACGCGGGGAGACCGAGAACUGUUAGGGAGGCUGGCCUAUGAUUGGUAGGGUGUUUGGAUUUGUGUGGGCUGUAAGGAUAGCAAAAUGGAACAGUUCAUUUUGGGGGACGAUGUAAAGGAAUUUCAGUGUAGCUAAAAAAACCACUGAUUUGGGGGCUAGCAAGACGGCUGAGUGAAUGAAGCACUUGUCAUCAAGGUUGACAACCUGAAUUUGACUUCUGGGACCCAGAAAUAGAAAGAGAACACACUCUGCACGUUUUCCUCUGACUCACAUACACAUAGGUGCUGUAGCGUGCACACACCCACACAUAUACGUGCAUAUACGAAACAAAGAAAUAAAUGCAAUAAAAAU